rnacentral:SRP_RNA from 2 species
GCCGGGUGUGGUGGCUCACACCUGUAAUCCCAGCACUUUAGGAGGCUGAGGGGGGUGGAUCACCUGAGGUCAGGAGUUCAAGACCAGCCUGGCCAACAUGGUGAAAUCUCGCCUCUA